UACGUAGGGUGCGAGCGUUGUCCGGAAUUAUUGGGCGUAAAGAGCUCGUAGGCGGUGUGUCACGUCGGCCGUGAAAACCUGCAGCUUAACUGUGGGCGUGCGGUCGAUACGGGCAUCACUGGAGUUCGGCAGGGGAGACUGGAAUUCCUGGUGUAGCGGUGAAAUGCGCAGAUAUCAGGAGGAACACCGGUGGCGAAGGCGGCUAUCUGGACAGAGU
rnacentral:rRNA from 1 species